rnacentral:rRNA from 1 species
CCCUGGUGGCAGCAGUGAGGAAUAUUGGUCAAUCGGCGCAAGCCUGAACCAGCCAAGUCGCGUGAGGGAUGACGGUCCUAUGGAUUGUAAACCUCUUUUGUCGGGGAGCAAGGCCCGCCACGUGUGGCGGGAAGGAGAGUACCCGAAGAAAAAGCAUCGGCUAACUCCGUGCCAGCAGCCGCCGUAAUAAGGAGGAUGCGGACGUUAUCCGGUUUUUUUGGGUUUAAAGGGGUCGUAGGCGGAAGGUUAAGUCAGUGGUAAAAUGGCGGUGCUCAACACCGGCCUGCCGUUGAAACUGGUCUUCUUGAGUGAGCGAGAAGUAUGCGGAAUGCGUGGUGUAGCGGUGAAAUGCAUAGAUAUCACGCAGAACUCCGAUUGCGAAGGCAGCAUACCGGCGCUCAACUGACGCUGAGGCACGAAAGCGUGGGGAUCGAACAGGAUUAGAUACCCGGGUAGUC